rnacentral:rRNA from 1 species
GUAGGUGGCAAGCGUUGUCCGGAAUUAUUGGGCGUAAAGCGCGCGCAGGCGGUCCUUUAAGUCUGAUGUGAAAGCCCACGGCUCAACCGUGGAGGGUCAUUGGAAACUGGGGGACUUGAGUACAGAAGAGGAAAGCGGAAUUCCAAGUGUAGCGGUGAAAUGCGUAGAGAUUUGGAGGAACACCAGUGGCGAAGGCGGCUUUCUGGUCUGUAACUGACGCUGAGGCGCGAAAGCGUGGGGAGCAAACAGGGAUUAGAUACCCUGGUAGUCCACGCCGUAAACGAUGAGUGCUAAGUGUUAGGGGGUUUCCCGCCCCUUAGUGCUGCAGCCAACGCAUUAAGCACUCGCCUGGGGAUACGGCCGCAAGGCUG